UAAUACCAACUCCCUGAGUGGUGGGGAUGAUUAUUGGGCUUAAAGCGUUCGUAGCCGGCCUGAUUAGUCCCUCGUCAAAUCCAGCGACCUAAUCGUUGGGUUGCGGGGGAUACGGUCGGGCUUGGGAGCGGGAGAGGUUAGCGGUAUUCCCGGGGUAGGGGCGAAAUCCUGUAAUCCCGGGGGGACCACCGGUGGCGAAGGCGGCUAACCAGAACGCGUCCGACGGUGAUGGACGAAAGCUGGGGGAGCGAACCGGAUUAGAUACCCGGGUAGUCCCAGCUGUAAACGAUGCGGGCUAGGUGUUGGGGCGGCUACGAACCGCUUCAGUGCCGCACGGAAGCAAUUAAGCCCGCCGCCUGGGAAGUACGGCCGCAAGGCUG
rnacentral:rRNA from 1 species